UACGAGGGGGGCAAGCGUUGUUCGGAAUUAUUGGGCGUAAAGGGUGCGUAGGCGGUUUUGACAAGUCUAAUGUGAAAUCUAUGGGCUCAACCCAUAGUCUGCAUUGGAAACUGUCGGGCUUGAGUAUGGGAGAGGUGAGUGGAAUUUCCGGUGUAGCGGUGAAAUGCGUAGAUAUCGGAAGGAACACCUGUGGCGAAAGCGGCUCACUGGACCAUUACUGACGCUGAUGCACGAAAAGCUAGGGGGAGCAAACAGG
rnacentral:rRNA from 1 species